GGCGAGGUGGCUGAGUGGUUUAAAGCGCGCGUCUCGAAAAUGCGAGGUCGUGAUGAACGGCCCCAGGGUUCGAAUCCCUGCCUCGCCGCCA
rnacentral:tRNA from 1 species